CUAAAGAUAGAUUAAACAAAUCACUUCUCCCGGGAAGAAGCCAUACAAGCAACACUCUGUUCUUUACC
rnacentral:tRNA from 1 species